rnacentral:rRNA from 1 species
AGAGGAAGUAAAAGUCGUAACAAGGUUUCCGUAGGUGAACCUGCGGAAGGAUCAUUAAUGAAAUGAACCUUGAGGCUGUUGCUGGCCCUCUGGGCAUGUGCACGUCUCUGGUCAUUAACAAUUCCACCUGUGCACAUUUGUAGACACUUGGGAAUGAGAGAUUUUUAACUGGUCUCUUGAGAAAUCAAAUCUGGGUGUCUAUGCCAUUUUAUUAAACACCAGUUGCAUGUCUUUUAGAAUGAUGAUUGUAAUAAAAUACAACUUUCAACAACGGAUCUCUUGGCUCUCGCAUCGAUGAAGAACGCAGCGAAAUGCGAUAAGUAAUGUGAAUUGCAGAAUUCAGUGAAUCAUCGAAUCUUUGAACGCACCUUGCGCUCCUUGGCAUUCCAAGGAGCAUGCCUGUUUGAGUGUCAUUAAAGUCUCAAGACCUAUCUGGAUUUGAUAGGUAUUGGAUCUUGGGAGUUGCAGGCUUACUUGGAUAGCCUGCUCUUCUUGAAUGUAUUAGUGGAUGAAAGACCAUUUGAACUCCACUGGUGUGAUAAAGUCUAUCUAUGCCAGGAGUAAUGUUGGAUUCUCUCUGCUGUCUAACUGUCCAGGUAAAUGGACAAUUUGACCAACUUGACCUCAAAUCAGGUAGGACUACCCGCUGAACUUAAGCAUAUCAAUAAGCGGA